AUUGAACGCUGGCGGCAUGCCUUACACAUGCAAGUCGAACGGCAGCGCGGACUUCGGUCUGGCGGCGAGUGGCGAACGGGUGAGUAAUACAUCGGAACGUACCCUGUUGUGGGGGAUAACUAGUCGAAAGAUUAGCUAAUACCGCAUACGACCUGAGGGUGAACGUGGGGGACCGCAAGGCCUCACGCAGCAGGAGCGGCCGAUGUCUGAUUAGCUAGUUGGUGGGGUAAAGGCCCACCAAGGCGACGAUCAGUAGCUGGUCUGAGAGGACGAUCAGCCACAGUUGGACUGAGACACGGCCCAGACUCCUACGGGAGGCAGCAGUGGGGAAUUUUGGACAAUGGGGGCAACCCUGAUCCAGCAAUGCCGCGUGUGUGAAGAAGGCCUUCGGGUUGUAAAGCACUUUUGUCCGGAAAGAAAUCGCGCUGGUUAAUACCUGGCGUGGAUGACGGUACCGGAAGAAUAAGCACCGGCUAACUACGUGCCAGCAGCCGCAGUAA
rnacentral:rRNA from 1 species